rnacentral:rRNA from 1 species
AGAGUUUUGAUCCUGGCUCAGAUUGAACGCUGGCGGCGUGCUUAACACAUGCAAGUCGAACGUGAAAGUCCUUCGGGGCGAGUAAAGUGGCGCACGGGUGAGUAACGCGUGGAUAAUCUACCCUUAAGAUGGGGAUAACGGCUGGAAACGGUCGCUAAUACCGAAUACGCUCCCGAUUUUAUCAUUGGGGGGAAAGAUGGCCUCUGCUUGCAAGCUAUCGCUUAAGGAUGAGUCCGCGUCCCAUUAGCUAGUUGGCGGGGUAACGGCCCACCAAGGCAACGAUGGGUAGCCGGUCUGAGAGGAUGACCGGCCACACUGGAACUGGAACACGGUCCAGACUCCUACGGGAGGCAGCAGUGGGGAAUAUUGCGCAAUGGGCGAAAGCCUGACGCAGCGACGCCGCGUGAGGGAUGAAGGUUCUCGGAUCGUAAACCUCUGUCAGGGGGGAAGAAACCCCCUCGUGUGAAUAAUGCGAGGGCUUGACGGUACCCCCAAAGGAAGCACCGGCUAACUCCGUGCCAGCAGCCGCGGUAAUACGGAGGGGUGCAAGCGUUAAU